AGUAGUAGUAGUAGUAGUAGUAGUAGUAAUAGUAGUAGUAGUAGUAGUAAUAGUAGUAGUAGUAGUAAUAGUGGUGGUGGUAGUAAUAGUAGUAGUAGGUUAGGAGUUGAAUUAUUUAUACAUAUUUAAGCAGAAGAAAGUGGAGUUUUAACACACACACACACACACACACACACACACACACACACACACACCUGUCUCCCCAUGCCCCCUUUCCUCCCCACCCCUCUUCGUCCUCUUUUCUCUCUCCCCUUCACGAAUACCAUUAACCCCCUUCCCCCUCCCCCCUUUCCUCCCUCACCCCACCCUCACCCCAGACCCCCUUAUUGAGACAUUCACCCCCACACACACACCCCUCGUCUCACCCUCACCUCCCUUUCCAUGCUUAUUUUGCUUCCUUCUUCCUUCCCCUCUUCCUCCUCUCCCACCCUUCUCGUCCCCUCUAUAUCUCUCCCUUCCCUUCCUCUUUCUCCUCCUUUUCCUUCUGCUCUCAUUCUCUAUCAUUUUAGCAACUCUUCUUCUUUUCUCCUUCUUCUCCUCUUUCCACUUUUCCUUUUUCUUCUCCUUCUUCCUCUUAUAUCUCUUCUUUUUUUCUCGUUAUCAUCAUCAUCAUCAGUGUGCAUAUCUGAAUCAAAUUAUUCAUUCAUUUCAUAUAUAUAUUUUUGCUUCUCUACUCCAUUUUCCUCCUCCUUUUUACACACACACACACACACAUUUUUUUUAUAUAGUUUAACUUGAUCAUUCUCUUUUGGGUUGACCUUUUUAUGUUUGUGUUUGUGGUUUUCAUAUAUAGUAGUAGCAAUUUCCUUAUCUAUAUUCUACCGCGGAACACACACACACACACACACACACACACACACACACACACACACACACACACACAGCUGCCCUGUUCACGCUUCACUUGAUAGAUAACUUCAAGUCCACCUAUAUUCGCUCCUUAUUUGGGCAUAAGCUAAAAUGUCAUAUUCUCUCUCUCUCUCUCUCUCUCUCUCUCUCUCUCUCUCUCUCUCUCUCUCUCUCUCUCUCUCUCUCUCUCUCUCUCUCUCUCUCUCUCUCUCUUAUCUACGGUAUUUCGACAUUUCACAUUAUUUUCGUUUGACCUCCAGACUGUAUCCAAUGGUAGUAGUAGUGGUAGUAGUAGUAGUAGUAGUAGUAGUAGUAAUAAGUGGUAGUAGUAAUAGUGUCGUAAAAUAAUAAUAAAAAUUGUAUUCGUUGUAUUAUGGCAUAUGUGUUUGUAGCGGGCUUUUGUUUUUGUUUGUUAUUCUUUUUUGCGGUUUCCAAUGAUGUAAAAAUAUGUUAAAAGUAAUAUAUAAUGGCAAUAAUACUGGACGCUGUAGUACCAGUAACGGCAAUAUAUCUUUUUUCGAUAACAGUUUACUUCCUCGCCGAUAAAGGUCUCACGCACCGCUCACAACUUGCCAAGGGUACGAACCCCACGCCCCUAGCAACCCGUGGCCCAUAGCUCGUAGGUUGUUAAAUAAAAAGUAAGAUAAGAUAGAAAGUUAGAAUAAGAUAGGUCAGAGUAAAUAUAUAAAUAAAGGAGGAUAAAUUGUGGUCAAUGAUAAACAAAUAACUGAAUUAAAAAAGAACUGAAGGAAACAUAUGAUUAAAAAAAAAUGAAAAUAAUGAGGGAAUAAAAAGAACUAAAGGCGCGGAGGUAACACGGUCCUGCUGCUCUCCUCUACCUUUCCCAUUGUUGUGUUGUCUAUUUUUAGAGGCAUUGUUACUGAACCCACUGCACCUCGCCACCCUAGCCUCGUCGGUGGCCGCGUUAGUCCAGGGUUAUACUUACACAGAAAUCAAAAUAUAUACACAAGAUAGUUCCAGAAAUUGAAUUAUACACACAAGAUAGUUCCAGAAAUUGAAUUAUACACACCAGAUGGGUCCAGAAGUUAAAAAUAGAGAGGUUCAUGCACUCAAAAUAGGUCCAGGGUUUUACUUACACAGAAAUCAAAAUAUAAACACAAGAAAAGUCCAGAAAUUGAAUCAUACACACAAGAUAGGUCCAGAAGUUAAAAUAAAUAGGUUUAGAAGUUAAAAUAAAUAGGUUUAGAAGUUAAAAUAGAUAAGUUCAGAAUUUAAGAUAUACACUCAAAAUAGGUCCAGGGUUUUACUUACACAGAAAUCUAAAUAUAAACACAAGAUAGUUCCAGAAAUUGAAUUAUACACACAAGAUAGGUCCAGAAGCUAAGUAGAUAGGUUCAGAAGGUAAAAUAUACACUCAAAAUAGGUCCAGGAUUUUACUUACACAGAAAUCAAAAUAUAAACACAAGAUAGGUCCAGAAGUUAAAAUAGAUUGGCUCAGAAAUUAAAAUAUACACUCAAAAUACGUCCAGGAUUUUACUUACACAGAAAUCAAAAUAUAAACACAAGAUAGGUCCAGAAGUUAAAAUAGAUUGGCUCAGAAAUUAAAAUAUACACUUAAAAUAUGUCCAGGGUUUUACUUACACGGAAAUCAAGACUGUCUAAACUUCUAAAGGAAGAGGAAGCCAUGAGACGCGGUGACAAGGACGGCAAUUAUCAUAAGGCUGAGGUCGAUGCUCUUAGACGCUGCCGGCUAUCACAGCAACCAUCUCCAAAGGCCGGAAAGAUCAGUCGGUUUCUAAUAAGUGUUUCUUAGGUUCACAGUACAGAAGAAAACCCAAACUACCACUGGUCAUAAAGUUACCUACGAAAGCCUUGCCAAAUGUGUGUGCUUGAGCGCUGAAUGUUUAAGAAUAUGGCUGUACGGCUUCAGUAGUAGUAGUAGUAAUAGUAAUAUAAGUGGUAGUAGUAAUAGAAGCAGUAGUAGUAAUAGUACAGUAAAAAUAGUAAAAAUUGUAUUCGUUGCUUAGGCCUAUGUGUUUCUAGCGGGCUUUUGUUUUUGUUUGUUAUGCUAUUUUGUGGCUUCCAAUGAUGUAAAUAUAUGUUAAAAGUAAUAUAUAAUGGCAAUAAUACUAGACGUCUUAAAAAAUCUAGGGUUGUCAAUGCGUAAACUGACUUUGAUGAUCCUUGCUUCGAUCCGUGUUGAUUGUGUGCAGCGGCGAGGCAUCAGAAAGUCGCCUUGUUUAUUUUCGUGGGGCGUCUUGCUCUUAGAAAAUGUGGGCCGUAAUACUAGACAUUUCGUUGCCCAUGUUCACGUAUUUGACAAGGCUUUCGUAGGAGUUGUGGGCAUUUCCAGGAGUAGUUUUAUGACCCUGGUGGUAGUGUGACCCUUCCUUUGUACGGUGAACCUAAAGAAACACUCAUUAGAACCCGAUUGGUCCUCUCUUUGACCUUUAGAAAUAGUUGAUGUGAGGAGCGAAGGUGUCUUAUAAUGCCGAUCUAUUUUGGGUACUAUUCUAAAACAUUUCAUCGCCCAAGAACACAAAUUUGACAAGGCUUUCGUAGGAGUUGUGGGCAUUUCCAGGAGUAGUUUUGUGACCCUGGUGGUAGUUUGACCCUUCUUCUGUACAAUAAACCAGAAGAAACAGUCAUUAGAACCCGACUGACCCCCUCUUUGACCUUUAGAAAUGGCUGAUGUGAGAAGCGAGUGUCUUAUGAUGCCGACUCGAGUCAUAAACAAAAUUCCUUCUCCGUUCAAGAGUUUCGUUUGGUUAGUUCAUCAAUUCUUCGCCCACUACGCCUCUGUUCACGGCACUUAGUAAACCAUAAAGAAAAUUCCUCCGUUCAAGGGCAUCGUUCGGUUAGUUCUGCAUCAGUGUCCUUGCCCACUACGCCUCUGUUCAUGGCAUUUAGUUAACCAUUAAGAAAAUUCCUCCGUUCAAGGAUAUCGUGUGUUUAGUUCUGCAUCAAUUCUUCGUCCACUACGCCUCUGUUCAUGGCAUUUAGUUAACCAUUAAGAAAAUUCCUCCGUUCAAGGAUAUCGUUUGGUUAGUCCUGCUUCGGUAUUUCUUUGUUCACGGCAAGAGCUCAUGGCCGAUAUUCUCAGACCCUUCCGCCUCGCAUCAACUAUUUCCAAGGGCCGAGAAGGAGCGUAUUCGCGUUCUCAUAAGUGUUUUUUGACGAUCAUGGUACGGAAGAAGGGUCAAAGGAUCAUAUUUUUAAACAUUUCGGCGCUCAAGCUCACAUAUCUAACAAGGCUUUUAUAAGAGUUUGGGUAAUUUACUAGAGUAGUUUUAUGACCCUGGCGGUAGUUUGACCCUUCUUCUGUACCAUGAACCUAAAAAAACGCUCAUUAGAAUCCGAUUGAUCUCCUUUUCGACCUUUGGAAAUAGGUGAUGGGAGGGGUGGAAGCG